GGGAACUGAUUAUCUCUAUGCGGCUUGGACUCUGGGUGGCAAGGUUAUUCUAGGCAUAAUCAAGAGAUCCCCAGUUUAUUACAGGAUUGGCUACAAGCAUUGUCUUUGGCAUGAGAUCUGAGGAGUAAUUGACCUGGGAUAACUGAGUCAUCCUUUGUGACUGGGAAUAACCUCAAUAUCGCUGUGAUUCUUGGUGAAUGGGAUCAUCUAUCACAAAGGUUUCAUUCGUUCCCUCUCUCCAUUGCUCACUCCACACCACCAGAGGGGGGAAAAAAAUCACUGUUUUGGAGAUAUUGCGCCCCAGCCUUGGGUAGCACCUAUUUUUGAAUUACAUUUUCCAUACAUCUUAUUAACCGGGAUCAAGCUUUCUGUAAACUGAGUAAUAACUAUGGGACCUUAUUUCCAAGGUUUUAACCUCCUCAGUUCCCACUGACUCCCCCUGGAGCUGAAGAUGCUCAGCACCUUACGCCAGGCAGUCAUUGCCUUUCAGAAUCCAGUCACUCUUCCCAAAGGCCUCACUGUUAAUUUGCUGUCAACACCUUAGCCUUUAGUCUUGGAGUUCAUUUAACCCACGAUAUGAUUAUUAGAGCUGUGUAGAGGAUGGAAAUUCUGUUUCGUGAAGGAUUUUGAGAUUUCAAAAUCUGGCUUCAUUCCAAAUGUGAGUGAAAACCGAAAAUUGCAGUGUUCUCCAUGAAGGAAAAUUCUCCCCCCAAAUUA